UCAAGGAAAUAAGGGCUUACGGGGGAUACCUUGGUAUUCAGAGGCGAAGAAGGACGCGGUUACCGGCGAAACGCUUCGGGGAGCUGGAAACAAGCUAUGAUCCGUAGAUCUCCGAAUGAGGAAACUUUUUAAACUAUCUACCGAAUUCAUAGGUAGAAAAGAGCGAACCUAGCGAAUUGAAACAUCUUAGUAGCUAGAGGAAAAGAAAGUAAAAACGAUUCCCUUAGUAGCGGCGAGCGAACUGGGAGAAGCCUAAACUUUUUCCUUAAAUGCAAAUUUAAGAAAAAAGAGUUGUGGGACAAUUAAAAAGAAAUCGUAAUUUUAAGUUAGAUGAAUUAGUUGGAAUACUAAAUCAUAGAAAGUGACAAUCUUGUAGUCGAAAACUUAAAGCUAUUUAAAUUGUAUCCCGAGUAGCAUGGGGCACGUGAAAUCCCGUGUGAAUCCGCGAGGACCACCUCGUAAGGCUAAAUACUACUGAAUAACCGAUAGUGAAACAGUACCGUGAGGGAAAGGUGAAAAGAACCCCGGGAGGGGAGUGAAAAGAACAUGAAACCGUAAGCUUACAAGCAGUAGAAGGACGACUUAUAACGUCUGCCUGCGUGCCUGUUGAAGAAUGAGCCGGCGACUUGUAUUUGGUGGCAUGGUUAAGGUAAGAAAUACCGGAGCCAUAGUGAAAGCGAGUCUGAAUAGGGCGUUAUGUCACCAAUUACGGACCCGAACCCGGAUGAUCUAACCAUGACCAGGAUGAAGCUUCGGUAAUACUAAGUGGAGGUCCGAACUGACUGAUGUUGAAAAAUCAGCAGAUGAGUUGUGGUUAGGGGUGAAAUGCCAAUCGAAUUCGGAGCUAGCUGGUUCUCCCCGAAAUGUGUUUAGGCGCAGCGGUUAGUGUUAUAGCUUAGGGGUAAAGCACUGUUUCGGUGCGGGCUGGUAAUUCGGUACCAAAUCGACGCAAACUCUGAAUACUAAGUGUAUAGCUAACCAGUAAGACUAUGGGGGAUAAGCUCCAUUGUCAAGAGGGAAACAGCCCAGAUCACCAGCUAAGGCCCCUAAAUAAUUGCUAAGUGAUAAAGGAGGUGGGAAGACUUAGACAACCAGGAGGUUUGCUUAGAAGCAGCAAUCCUUUAAAGAGUGCGUAAUANAAAAAAUAUAUAUUAUAUAUCGGUAGGGGAGCGUUCUGUUAUAGAUUGAAGCGUUAGCGUAAGCGGGCGUGGACGAAACAGAAGUGAGAAUGUCGGCUUGAGUAGCGAAAACAUAGGUGAGAAUCCAAUGCCCUGAAAACCUAAGGUUUCCUCCGGAAGGCUCGUCCACGGGGGGUAAGUCAGGACCUAAGGCGAGGCUGAAAAGCGUAGUCGAUGGACAAUAGGUUUUAUUCCUAUACUAUUCUUUAUUGGCAACGAGGGACGAAGAAAGCUAAACUAGCCAACUAAUGGUUAUUGGUUUAAAUGUACAAGGUGUUGAGAAGUAGAGAAAAUACUUUGAGCUAAGUCAUGAAUACGGAAUAACGUGCGCGUUAUAUGAAGUAGUUGAUGUUAUGCUUCCAAGAAAAGCUUGCACUGUCAUAAAUAAAGAAUACCUGUACCCUAAACCGACACAGGUAGGUUGGUAGAGUAUACCAAAGGGCGCGAGAUAACUCUCUCUAAGGAACUCGGCAAAAUAGCCCUGUAACUUCGGGAAAAGGGGUACCUUUUAGGUUGCAAUAACAAGGUCCAAGCGACUGUUUACCAAAAACACAGGUCUCCGCUAAGUUGUAAAACAACGUAUGGGGGCUGACGCCUGCCCAGUGCCGGAAGGUUAAAGAAGUUGGUUAGUUUAUGACGACGCUAAUAACUGAAGCCCCGGUGAACGGCGGCCGUAACUAUAACGGUCCUAAGGUAGCGAAAUUCCUUGUCGGGUAAGUUCCGACCCGCACGAAAGGCGUAACGAUUUGGACACUGUCUCAGAGAGAGACUCGGUGAAAUAGACUUGUCUGUGAAGAUGCGGACUACCUGCACCUGGACAGAAAGACCCUAUGAAGCUUUACUGUAACUUGAAAUUGGUUUCGGGUUUUAUUUGCGCAGCAUAGGUGGGAGGCUGGGACGUUAAUCUUACGGGAUUAAUCGAGCUGUCAGUGAGAUACCACUCUUAUAAAACUAGAACUCUAACCUUGUAUCGUUAGCCGAUCAGGGAACAGUUUCAGGCGGGCAGUUUGACUGGGGCGGUCGCCUCCUAAAAGGUAACGGAGGCGUACAAAGGUUUCCUCAGAUCGGUCAGAAAUCGAUCGAAGAGUGUAAAGGCAAAAGGAAGCUUGACUGUGAGACUUACAAGUCGAACAGAGACGAAAGUCGGUCUUAGUGAUCUGGCGAUAUUGAGUGGAAAAGUCGUCACUCAACGGAUAAAAGUUACUCUAGGGAUAACAGGCUGAUCUCCCCCAAGAGUUCACAUCGACGGGGAGGUUUGGCACCUCGAUGUCGGCUCAUCGCAUCCUGGGGCGGUAGUACGUCCCAAGGGUUGGGCUGUUCGCCCAUGAAAGCGGUACGUGAGCUGGGUUCAGAACGUCGUGAGACAGUUCGGUCCAUAUCCGGUGUAGGCGUUAGAGUAUUGAGAGGAUUCUUCUUUAGUACGAGAGGACCGAGAAGAACAUGCCGCUGGUGUACCAGUUAUCAUACCAAUGGUAAACGCUGGGUAGCCACGCAUGGAAAGGAUAACCGCUGAAAGCAUCUAAGUGGGAAGCCCACCUCAAGAUGAGUACUCUCAUUGUGAAAACAAGUAAGAUCACGGCAAGACUAGCCGUUUAAAUAGGCAUCAAGU
rnacentral:rRNA from 1 species